rnacentral:sRNA from 1 species
GCAGAGCUUUACUGCUUUUUGAAAUACUAACUUGCAAGUUCAGCAACAGCUAAGAAAACAAUCCUAGACUUGGAAAUUGAAAGACUGGAAGAGAAGUGGAGGGAUUCCUUUGGAACCCUUUACGUACGUAUGUGUAAGGAAUUGUAGGCAUCCAGUACCCUGCUGACUCUGACAUGCCCCCAGCCUCCCCCAGCUCUGCAGGGAGCCCUGGUGCCAGAGACCUUCUCCCAUUUCUCCCUAUGGGUGCCUGACCUGAGGGCAGAGACAUCUGAGUGUGUAUAAGCACAGCAGGACACCAGGACCUGGCCUGAAGACAUUUCCUCUCUUCCCCUCUGGACUUCUCAGAGAGGUGCUGUUUGAUCCCUGUCGGACUUGGUGCCCGGCGUCCACCUGCCAAGCUGUGUGUCAGCUCCAGGACGUGGGGCUGCAGACCCCCCAGCCAGUGCAGUGCAAAGCCUGCCGUAUGGAAUUCUGCUCCACCUGCAAAGCCAGCUGGCACCCUGGCCAGGGCUGCCCGGAGACCAUGCCGAUCACCUUCCUCCCCGGGGAGACCAGUGCUGCUUUCAAAAUGGAAGAAGAUGAC